CUAAAGGUUUAUGGGAUCAAGGCCCGUCGAUCUAG
rnacentral:tRNA from 1 species